rnacentral:rRNA from 1 species
AGUUGGAAUUGCUAGUAAUCGCAGAUCAGAAUGCUGCGGUGAAUACGUUCCCGGGCCUUGUACACACCGCCCGUCACACCAUGGGAGCCGGUAAUACCCGAAGUCAGUAGUCUAACCGCAAGGGGGACGCUGCCGAAGGUAGGAUUGGCGACUGGGGUGAAGUCGUAACAAGGUAAC